UGCGAAAGCCAAUCGCCGCUGGCACACAGACAACCGAGAGAGGUUGGUGGUUGCCACGUCCCCUCUUCUCCUUCGGCCUUCUACGGCUGAGUUUCACCUUUGCGGAAGCUUCCAACGGGCUGAGUGUAGGUGUUGGACAACAGCGGCGGGAUCCACUCUAUUUCGCCACCAAGAGGCGGAUGACCUGGCUAAGCGUUACACGCCAUGGACUUUGCAAUAAUCGAAUUGUUAGGCUCGAUAGUUUUGCGUUUUCGACCUAGUUCAGAAACGAUACCUUCUACUACUGUCCUCAAGCAUCAAGAGUCUAUAAUCUUGUGAUGAGUGGACCGUGAAAUUGAUCAAGAAGAGAGAUUGUUUGAUCUCUCUGAAAUGAUGACUUAAUUGUUUUGGUAUUUAAAAUUUGAACAUCUAUAAAAUUUGGAUCUACAUCUACGACUAAAGGAAAUUCUAUUAUGAAACAAACGAUAUUUUAAUUUUUAAAUAAUUUCUUUUUCCUUUCACUCAUCGUUUUUUUCUACGUUGGAUAAAAUAACAAAGGAACUCACAACUUUGGUAAAGUAAAAUUGGGAUUAAGAAUUAAUUUUAAUUCUUAAAUUUUUUGACACGAGAGGCUUAAUUGGGUUAAUUGGUUUCCACGCGAUUACGCGAAUGAAGCGUCUGAGAAAAAAAA